rnacentral:rRNA from 1 species
CACGUAGGGGGCAAGCGUUGUCCGGAUUUAUUGGGCGUAAAGAGCGUGUAGGCGGAUCCUUAAGUCAGGGGUGAAAUCCCGAGGCUCAACCUCGGAACUGCCUUUGAUACUGGGGGAUAUCGAGUCCGGGAGAGGUGAGUGGAACUGCGAGUGUAGAGGUGAAAAUUCGUAGAUAUUCGCAAGAACACCAGUGGCGAAGGCGGCUCACUGGCCCGGUACUGACGCUGAGGUGCGAAAGCGUGGGGAGCAAACAGGG